rfam:Pyrenophora teres f. teres 0-1 contig_005171, whole genome shotgun sequence.
UCCUCCGUGGCGCAAUUGGCUAGCGCGUCUGACUGUUACAGUGCUGUGGCUCAUCAGGAGGUUGAAAGUUCGAGCCUUUCCGGGGGAG